rnacentral:tRNA from 1 species
GAAGAUGAUAACACUAACCUGCUAAAUUAGUAAUCCCGCACUAGCCUGCGGGCAUCCUC